AUGAACGCUGGCGGUGUUGCCUUAAGCAUGCAAGUCAAGGGGGCUCGCAAGAGCAACCGGCGGGAACGGGUGAGUAAUACGCAGGAAUCUGCCUUGAAGUUGGACAUAGCUCCUCGAAAGAGGGGGUAAUUUCCAAUGUGGACGUAAGUCUAAAGAUUUAUCGCUUCAAGAUGAGCCUGUGUCCUAUCAGCUAGUUGGUGGGGUAAAAGCCUACCAAGGCGACGACGGGUAGCUGGACUAAGAGGUUGGUCAGCCUCAAUGGGACUGAGAUACGGCCCAUACACCUACGGGUGGCAGCAACUGGGAAUAUUCGGCAAUGGGCGAAAGCCUGACCGAGCGACAUCGCGUGGAGGAUUGAAGGCCCUCGGGUUGUAAACUCCUUUUGUCUGGGAAGAUUAUGACUGUACCAGAAGAAUAAGCAUCUGCUAACUACGUGCCAGAAGCCUCGGUAAUACGUAGGAUGCAAGCGUUAUCCGGAUUUAUUGGGCCGUAAAGAGUUGCGUAGGCGGCUCGACGCAUUUUGUUUGAAAGAUUGCGACUUAACCGUAUAUUUGUGACAAAAUAUGGUCGAGCUUGAUGAUGUGAGAGGGUACUGGAACAGACUGUGUAGCAGUGAAAUGCGUUGAUAUAGUCUGGAACACCAAAGGCGUAGGCAGGUACCUGGCACACUCAUGACGCUUAGGCACAAAAGCUAGGGGAGCGAAGCAGAUUAGAGACCUGCGUAGUCCUAGCCGUAAACAAUGUCUGCUAGAUACCUGUGCAUGAUUUAUCAUGCGUGGGUGUCGAAGGUAACCCAUUAAGCAGACCGCCUGGGGAGUACGAACGCAAGUUUAAAACUCAAAGGAAUUGACGGGGAGGCGCACAAGCAGUGGAGCGUGUGGUUUAAUUCGAUACGAAGCGAAAAACCUCACCAAGGUUUGACAUGUACUUGCUAAGCCUAUGAAAGUAGGCCUCCUUCGAGGGUAGUACACAGAUGCUGCAUGGCUGUCGUCAGUUCGUGGCGUGAGCUGUCCCCUUAAGUGGGCAAACGAACGCAACCCGCACCGUAUGUUAAAUAACUCAUGCGGAACAGCCGUCCUUUGGACGGAGGAAGACGCGGAUGACGUCAAGUCAGCACGGCUCUUACACCUUGGGCUACACACACCCUACAAUGCCGAAAAACAACGAGCUGCAAGCUAGUAAUAGCAAGCUAAUCUCUGAAAUUUCGGCCCAGUUCAGAUUGAGGGCUGCAAUUCGCCCUCAUGAAGUCGGAAUUGCUAGUAAUCGCGGAUCAGCAGGCCGCGGUGAAUACGUUCUCGCCUCUUGUACACACCGCCCGUCAAGGCAGGAAGGUUGGGGGCGCCUGAAGUUAUCUUUGAUUUCUAAGGCGAAUCCAGCGAUCAGGCUU
rnacentral:rRNA from 1 species